rnacentral:rRNA from 1 species
AACGAACGCUGGCGGCAUGCCUAACACAUGCAAGUCGAACGAGACCUUCGGGUCUAGUGGCGCACGGGUGCGUAACGCGUGGGAACCUGCCCUUAGGUUCGGAAUAACUCCCCGAAAGGGGUGCUAAUACCGGAUAAUGUCUUCGGACCAAAGAUUUAUCGCCUUUGGAUGGGCCCGCGUUGGAUUAGCUAGUUGGUAGGGUAAAAGCCUACCAAGGCGACGAUCCAUAGCUGGUCUGAGAGGAUGAUCAGCCACACUGGGACUGAGACACGGCCCAGACUCCUACGGGAGGCAGGAGUGGGGGAUAUUGGACCAUGGGCGAAAGCCUGAUCCAGCAAUGACGGGUGAGUGAUGAAGGCAUGAGGGUUGUAAAGCUCUUUUACCCGGGAUGAUAAUGACAGUACCGGGAGAAUAAGCUCCGGCUAACUCCGUG